rnacentral:ncRNA from 1 species
CCGACGUCCCAUAGCAGGUUGCGAUGGCCCCCACGGGUGUUGACGCAAUGUGAUUUCUACCCAGUGCUCUGAAUGUCAUCGUGAAAAAAUUCAAAAAAGCGCGGGUAAACGGCGGGAGUAACUAUGACUCUCUCUAUAACACCUUUUUAGGGGUCAUGGUUGCAGGGUCGGUGAUGCGUAAUACAGACCUCUUGUUAGGUCCUUCAGCCUCUCCCGACCAAGUCGCACACAUACCUCCUAGUGGUACCCGCCGGUAACAUGCUGCCCUGAAUGAUCUGGCACCAUGGCUGAACUGUGUGCG